GCAGAGGACUGAAAAUCCUUGUGUCACCAGUUCAAAUCUGGUUUCUGGCA
rnacentral:tRNA from 1 species